rnacentral:tRNA from 1 species
GAGAACGUGGUGUAAUGGUAGCACGCUUGCCCUGGGAGCAUGAGGCGCAGUUCGAAUCUGACGUUUUCA